rnacentral:rRNA from 1 species
UGGGGAAUAUUGCACAAUGGGCGCAAGCCUGAUGCAGCCAUGCCGCGUGUGUGAAGAAGGCCUUCGGGUUGUAAAGCACUUUCAGCGGGGAGGAAGGCGGUGAGGUUAAUAACCUCACCGAUUGACGUUACCCGCAGAAGAAGCACCGGCUAACUCCGUGCCAGCAGCCGCGGUAAUACGGAGGGUGCAAGCGUUAAUCGGAAUUACUGGGCGUAAAGCGCACGCAGGCGGUCUGUCAAGUCGGAUGUGAAAUCCCCGGGCUCAACCUGGGAACUGCAUUCGAAACUGGCAGGCUAGAGUCUUGUAGAGGGGGGUAGAAUUCCAGGUGUAGCGGUGAAAUGCGUAGGGAUCUGGAGGAAUACCGGUGGCGAAGGCGGCCCCCUGGACGAAGACUGACGCUCAGGUGCGAAAGCGUGGGGAGCAAACAGG